AGUGAACGCUGGCGGUAGGCCUAACACAUGCAAGUCGAACGGCAGCACAGUAAGAGCUUGCUCUUACGGGUGGCGAGUGGCGGACGGGUGAGGAAUACAUCGGAAUCUACUUUUUCGUGGGGGAUAACGUAGGGAAUCUUACGCUAAUACCGCAUACGACCUACGGGUGAAAGCAGGGGAUCUUCGGACCUUGCGCGAUUGAAUGAGCCGAUGUCGGAUUAGCUAGUUGGCGGGGUAAAGGCCCACCAAGGCGACGAUCCGUAGCUGGUCUGAGAGGAUGAUCAGCCACACUGGAACUGAGACACGGUCCAGACUCCUACGGGAGGCAGCAGUGGGGAAUAUUGGACAAUGGGCGCAGGCCUGAUCCAGCCAUACCGCGUGGGUGAAGAAGGCCUUCGGGUUGUAAAGCCCUUUUGUUGGGAAAGAAAAGCAGCAGGUUAAUACCCCGCUGUUCUGACGGUACCCAAAGAAUAAGCACCGGCUAACUUCGUG
rnacentral:rRNA from 1 species